rnacentral:rRNA from 1 species
AUUGAACGCUGGCGGCAGGCCUAACACAUGCAAGUCGAACGAGUGGCGGACGGGUGAGUAAUGUCUGGGAAACUGCCUGAUGGAGGGGGAUAACUACUGGAAACGGUAGCUAAUACCGCAUACCAUCGGAUGUGCCCAGAUGGGAUUAGCUUGUAGGUGAGGUAACGGCUCACCUAGGCGACGCUCCCUAGCUGGUCUGAGAGGAUGACCAGCCACUCUGGAACUGAGACACGGGCCAGACUCCUACGGGAGGCAGCAGUGGGGACUAUUGCACAAUGGGCGCAAGCCUGAUGCAGCCAUGCCGCGGGUAUGAAGAAGGCCUUCGGGUUUUAAAGUACUUUCAGCAGGGAGGCGUUACCCGCAGAAGAAGCACCGGCUAACUCCGUGCCAGCCGCCGCGGUAAUAC